rnacentral:piRNA from 1 species
UAAUAAGAUUUUAAUAAGGCCAUGCCAGGAC